UGCAAUUUUGUUUUUUGGAUUCGUAACGGUCACAAAGAGAAGAAGAGAGGCUCCUAAAUAUUUUGUUGUAUUUACGCUUUUACCCUUCUUAACGGUCUUAUUUUAUUCACCGUUGACCAAACCGGUUAAAGAGAGAAUUUGCAUAUUGGUUUAUUCAUCCUCCUUCGCUUAUUAGACAAUCAGUAGUAAACAAAUUCACCGACUAAACCAAAAAUUCCACUAAAUACAAAUUUGGUUUAACUUUUGAACUUACAAAGCAUCAAACAGUUUGGAGAAAGCAGAUGCUUGUGUGGAUGUGU